rnacentral:rRNA from 1 species
AUUGAACGCUGGCGGCAGGCCUAACACAUGCAAGUCGAGCGGGGUGAUGGUGCUUGCACUAUCACUUAGCGGCGGACGGGUGAGUAAUGCUUAGGAAUCUGCCUAUUAGUGGGCGACAACAUCUCGAAAGGGAUGCUAAUACCGCAUACGUCCUACGGGAGAAAGCAGGGGAUCACUUGUGACCUUGCGCUAAUAGAUGAGUACAGGUCGGAUUAGCUAGUUGGUGGGGUAAAGGCCUACCAAGGCGACGAUCUGUAGCGGGUCUGAGAGGAUGAUCCGCCACACUGGGACUGAGACACGGCCCAGACUCCUACGGGAGGCAGCAGUGGGGAAUAUUGGACAAUGGGGGGAACCCUGAUCCAGCCAUGCCGCGUGUGUGAAGAAGGCCUUAUGGUUGUAAAGCACUUUAAGCGAGGAGGAGGCUCUUUUGGUUAAUACCCAAGAUGAGUGGACGUUACUCGCAGAAUAAGCACCGGCUAACUCUGUGCCAGCAGCCGCCGUAA